AGCGGCGAACGGGUGAGUAACACGUGGAUAACCUGCCCUCGGCACCGGGAUAGCCCGAGGAAACUCGGAUUAAUACCGGAUAGCCCUUCCGACUCUCGAGUCGGUCCGAAAAGGUAGCUUCGGCCUCCGGCCGAGGAUGGGUCCGCGGCGGAUUAGCUUGUUGGUGGGGUAACGGCCUACCAAGGCACCGAUCCGUAGCUGGUCUGAGAGGACGAUCAGCCACACUGGGACUGAGACACGGCCCAGACUCCUACGGGAGGCAGCAGUGGGGAAUCUUGCGCAAUGGGCGAAAGCCUGACGCUGCGACGCCGCGUGAGGGAAGAAGGCCUUCGGGUUGUAAACCUCUUUUAAGAGAGAAGAAGCUACUCGGGUUAAUAGCCCAGAGGGUGACGGUAUCUCUUGAAUAAGCCCCGGCUAACUACGUGCCAGCAGCCGCGGUAAUACGUAGGGGGCAAGCGUUGUCCGGAUUUACUGGGCGUAAAGAGCGUGUAGGCGGCCAUGCAGGUCCGUUGUGAAAACUGGAGGCUCAACCUCCAGACGUCGACGGAAACCGUGUGGCUAGAGUCCGCAAGAGGAGAGUGGAAUUCCUGGUGUAGCGGUGAAAUGCGCAGAUAUCAGGAAGAACACCAAUGGCGAAGGCAGCUCUCUGGGACGGUACUGACGCUGAGACGCGAAAGCGUGGGGGAGCGAACAGGAUUUAGAUACCCUGGUAGUCCACGCCGUAAACGAUGGGUGCUAGGUGUGGGAGG
rnacentral:rRNA from 1 species